GACGAACGCUGGCGGCGUGCUUAACACAUGCAAGUCGAACGCUGAAGCUCAGCUUUUGUUGGGUGGAUGAGUGGCGAACGGGUGAGUAACACGUGAGUAACCUGCCCCCUUCUUUGGGAUAACGCCCGGAAACGGGUGCUAAUACUGGAUAUUCACUGGUCUUCGCAUGGGGGUUGGUGGAAAGGGUUUUUCUGGUGGGGGAUGGGCUCGCGGCCUAUCAGCUUGUUGGUGGGGUGAUGGCCUACCAAGGCUUUGACGGGUAGCCGGCCUGGGAGGGUGACCGGUCACAUUGGGACUGAGAUACGGCCCAGACUCCUACGGGAGGCAGCAGUGGGGAAUAUUGCGCAAUGGGCGCAAGCCUGAUGCAGCGACGCCGCGUGAGGGAUGGAGGCCUUCGGGUUGUGAACCUCUUUCGCUCAUGGUCAAGCCGCAACAAUGGUUGUGGUGAGGGUAGUGGGUAAAGAAGCGCCGGCUAACUACGUG
rnacentral:rRNA from 1 species